UCCUGGUUUCCCAGGCAGUCCCAUCAGAGUGCCUACUUUCGUAGUUGCAACUGAUAGCAAGGGUUGCGCUCGUUAGAGGACUUAACCCAACAUCUCACGACACGAGCUGACGACAGCCAUGCAGCACCUGUGUACCCGUUUGGACCGAAGCCCAAAAAACUGUAUUUCUACAGCGGUCAAGUACAUGUCAAGCCUAGGUAAGGUUCCUCGCGUAGUGUCGAAUUAAACCACAUGUUCCACCGCUUGUGCGAGCCCCCGUCAAUUCCUUUGAGUUUUAAUCUUGCGACCGUAGUCCCCAGGCGGAUCACUUAACGCGUUAGCUACGACACUAAUUCCGUAAAACGGAACUAACGUCUAGUGAUCAUCGUUUACAGCGUGGACUAC
rnacentral:misc_RNA from 1 species